UUGCACCUUAUGGUUAGCGGCGGACGGGUGAGUAACACGUGGGCAACCUGCCUGUAAGACUGGGAUAACUUCGGGAAACCGGAGCUAAUACCGGAUAAUCCUUUUCCUCUCAUGAGGAAAAGCUGAAAGUCGGUUUCGGCUGACACUUACAGAUGGGCCCGCGGCGCAUUAGCUAGUUGGUGAGGUAAUGGCUCACCAAGGCGACGAUGCGUAGCCGACCUGAGAGGGUGAUCGGCCACACUGGGACUGAGACACGGCCCAGACUCCUACGGGAGGCAGCAGUAGGGAAUCUUCCGCAAUGGACGAAAGUCUGACGGAGCAACGCCGCGUGAGCGAUGAAGGCCUUCGGGUCGUAAAGCUCUGUUGUUAGGGAAGAACAAGUACCGGAGUAACUGCCGGUACCUUGACGGUACCUAACCAGAAAGCCACGGCUAACUACGUGCCAGCAGCCGCGGUAAUACGUAGGUGGCAAGCGUUGUCCGGAAUUAUUGGGCGUAAAGCGCGCGCAGGCGGUCCUUUAAGUCUGAUGUGAAAGCCCACGGCUCAACCGUGGAGGGUCAUUGGAAACUGGGGGACUUGAGUACAGAAGAGGAAAGCGGAAUUCCACGU
rnacentral:rRNA from 2 species